UCAUCUUCAUCUUCCUCGUCA
rnacentral:miRNA from 1 species